rnacentral:tRNA from 1 species
GUUUCCGUAGUGUAGUGGUAAUCACGUGUGCUUCACACGCACAAGGUCCCCGGUUCGAUCCCGGGCGGAAACA